rnacentral:lncRNA from 1 species
AUCCGAGGUGAUCAGUCACAACCUCCGAGACCACCGUGAUACCUCAUUUUGUAAGGCGAGGAAAAGCAUCUAAAAUCACACACUCAUUUUAUCGGUCUCGUGUAGUUUUCCAUUGCUCUCAGCCUAAGGCUCAAGAGCCCUUGAUGGCUAUGGACUGGUUUCUAUUCUCGGUUCAUAUUCUCUGGCAUGCAAUACGUAUCGAGCGACCUAGCAGAGUGGAAGACACGGAAGGCAACUGCGUGCUUGCAGUCUGUGAGCGGGACAGAAUGGCGGCGGUCACGUUACCCUCAGGACGCUCAGAGUCCAGGGGGUGAUGCAGCCUCGCUGCGAAGGUGCUGUCCAGGCUGCCUUACCUGCACUUUGCCUCUCUCAGACCUAGUUUCUUCUCACCACGUGAGCUCACUGGGACUGCGGAAAUCUAAGUUCCAGCAUGGGUUAGAAAUAUGUGGUGGCUAUGAUUUUCACUAAGAGGUGCCAAUGGUAAACAUUUUUCAUCCACUUGGGAUAUUAAAAAAAAAAGUAGUACAUAAUGAAAUGAUUCAUUUGGCAUUUUCACCUAAUAGAAUUAAAAAUAUGUCCAAACAGUGCUUUUGCAGCACUGAACCAUGAGCGUGUCCUUUCAGGGCUACAGUUAAAAUGAUUUUAUUUCUUUUAGAUUGUUCUUCAAAG